GCGCUUAUAGUUCAGUGGAUAAGAAUAUUUGAUUGCGGUUCAAAUGGUCGGAGGUUCGAUUCCUCCUAAGCGCG
rnacentral:tRNA from 1 species